rnacentral:rRNA from 1 species
AAAAUUUAAAUUUAAAAUACUAAAAUAGUAAAUAAUUAUUUAUUGAAACUUAAAUAAUUUGGCGGUAUUUUAGUUCAUUUAGAGGAAUCUGUUUAAUAAUUGAUAUUCCACGAACAAAUUUACUUAACUUAUAAUUUUGUAUAUCGUUGUUAAAAAAAUAUUUUUUAAUAAAUUUAAUAUUUUAGAAUUAUAAUAUAAAUUUAAAUCAGAUCAAGAUGCAGAUUAUAGUUAAGAAUAUAAUGGAUUACAAUAAAUUUAUUUAAAUGAAUAUUAAUUUGUAAAAAUUAGUUGAAAGUGGAUUUAAAUGUAAUUUUAUUUAAUUUAAUAAAAUGAUUAAAAAUUAAAAUAUGU